rnacentral:rRNA from 1 species
GAUGAACGCUAGCUACAGGCUUAACACAUGCAAGUCGAGGGGCAGCAUGGUCUUAGCCUGCUAAGGCCGAUGGCGACCGGCGCACGGGUGAGUAACACGUAUCCAACCUGCCGUCUACUCUUGGACAGCCUUCUGAAAGGAAGAUUAAUACAAGAUGGCAUCAUGAGUCCGCAUGUUCACAUGAUUAAAGGUAUUCCGGUAGACGAUGGGGAUGCGUUCCAUUAGAUAGUAGGCGGGGUAACGCCCACCUAGUCUUCGAUGGAUAGGGGUUCUGAGAGGAAGGUCCCCCCACAUUGGAACUGAGACACGGGUCCAAACUCCUACGGGAGCAGCAGUGAGGAAUAUUGGUCAAUGGGCGAGAGCCUGAACCNGCCAAGUAGCGUGAAGGAUGACUGCCCUAUGGGUUGUAAACUUCGUUUUUAAUAAAAGGGAAUUAAAAGGUCGGUAUGGAUACCCGUUUGCAUGUACUUUAUGAAUAAGGAUCGGCUAACUCCGUGCCAG